UGCCGAAUACAAUUUGAGCGUCGUCUCAUUGUUUUCAAGUACUGGAACCUGGGGUGUUGGUUUUGAGUUCCUCUGCCGGGAGGUUCUCACGUUGUUGUUCAGAGCAUGGCUACCACAUUCUUCCAUCAUGCAAUUUGCAAUUGCAAUUCCGAUCUAAGUUUAAUGGUUCAACCACGUCGUUAGAACAUUGCAAGUGGUGGCAGUAUUUUUGACAAUCGAUCAAAAUAAGUCCUGAGUGACUGUCAAGUAUGUAGCAAGCCAGCGUAGAAUUUUCCUACAUUCCACUUGAAUGAACAUUGAUUUCUUCCGUGGACGUAAUUUUGCAAUAUUGACAUGCAAGCUUCGCUUUUCCACGUUCAAAAACGCCGAGUCUCCUUGCCAACAAAAUUCCAACAUAACCCUGUGCAGUGUUUGAACGCCAUGGCAAGUAUUACCCCUAAGAGACUAAUCGCCGUUACUUUCAGUUGAGAAGCAACACCCGGAACACUUGCCAAGUUUCCAUAUCCACCGCUAGAGAUUAACUGAUCAAAUGGAAUGACAGCGGCCAAAAGACAGACCUAUCAGGUUUAACCCAUCAGCUUCAUCGAAUAUGGAGCAGUUUCCAAGGCGAGCAUGAUACUGAAAUUUUCAAUCAAGAUGAAUCUGCGGAAUACUUACGGGCAGUCGCAGUCUUUGCUGUAUUGGUCCAACAAGUAGUACACCAUUCAAAUCGCGUGUGAACACACUGAUUUGCAUCUCACGUCGUCAUUUUACCGAUCGAUAUUGACAUCCAGGUUGUGUGAUGAAAAUAAGUAUAUCUCCUAAUAUAGGAGCAUUUUUCAUUAGCUCUCAUCUAGUACCCACAGUUAUUGAGGUGUUCCAAUCAGCUACUUGUGCUGCUCUUUAAUCGUGCAUUGAAAGCUGUUGGAUUUGUCGAUAGAGUUGAAGUUUUAUGUAGACGAAGGCUUUCUGUUUGCGGAGGGGUUGAAGCUUUGUAGAGCUUGGUGUAAGUGCUCAUAGGGACUCCACGCCACUGCAAGAGUGUUGGGUUUGCGCAUCCGGCAACGUUGUAGUAAUCUGAGAGAAGUAAUGUAGUCUCUUUCAGACCUUGUUCAGCAUGCAAAAUAUGAAGAAAUCGUGGUAGCAUUGGAUCUGCAAACGGAUUCGGCUGCAGUAAUCGAAGCAACGCAUAUAUGUCCCAGGGUUUCGGUGAAGCCGACUUCACUUAAUCGUUCAUCUUUCCGCAUCUCUAUAUCGAACUGAUGUCCUCACUUCAGAUUCAACCUUCCUCAUAACGUGAAGAGAAUUCAUUAAUUGUCAGAUUAUCCGAUUGCCAUGGGACACCAGGUGAAGCACUCGACUGUGGAACCCGUGCUGGAGAAUUACAUGAGCCCUCCGAUGUCUUGCGGUACAGCCAGUAAGGCCAACCAUGGGCCAGUUGCAACAAGCAGUGCGGAAGAGAAACACGCGAAAUCGUUGUCCAGCUUGAAUCCUCUUAAUUUUUUCCAAAAGCUGAGAGAUCGCAACAUUAGGGCCAUGAAUGAAAAGGCCAUGAGAGGGAACAACAUUGGCAUGGCUGACUACCAGGGCACUGUCACAGGGACACACCACUCCGACACCAUGGAUCGGCAACAUUUAAGUGCGAAGGAGCGAGAAAUGAACGCAUACUUAGAGCAACUAGUUGCACUUCAAAGAAAUAGUGACGUAGCCCAAUAACAAGCUAGCACCAAUAGACUUUCGAUGCAAAGUUUGUCCACCUUCGUUGAAAUCUUUACCAAAAGAGUCAGAUUACCCCACAGCUCAGAUUUCUCAUAAUACAAUCGAUCAUGGGUACUCGAGCCGUUCACAGCUACUUCCCUAAUGCGACGGCGGAAGUCCAUUAGUGUAGCCGAGAACCCCAGCAUUGUCUGAUUCCAGCUCUCUCGAACUACGUUACCGACAACAAAGACUGCCGAGAAUCUACUAUUGAAUGCAUUAGCAGAAAUUAUUUUGGGUGUGCCAGGAUGGAAGAUAGAUCUAAUGUUUGAAAGUAAUGCCGUUCUGGGUGCUGCCAUCGAUACAUUCAUGCGCUAUGAAAGUUGACCUGGAGCCAUUUCACUUUGCGUCA